GACGAACGCUGGCGGCGUGCUUAACACAUGCAAGUCGAACGGUAAGGCCCUUCGGGGUACACGAGUGGCAAACGGGUGAGUAACACGUGGGUGAUCUGCCCUGCACUUCGGGAUAAGCCUGGGAAACUGGGUCUAAUACCGGAUAGGACUCCGGACUGCAUGGUCUGGGGUGGAAAGCUUUUGCGGUGUGGGAUGGGCCCGCGGCCUAUCAGCUUGUUGGUAGGGUGAUGGCCUACCAAGGCGACGACGGGUAGCCGGCCUGAGAGGGCGACCGGCCACACUGGGACUGAGAUACGGCCCAGACUCCUACGGGAGGCAGCAGUGGGGAAUAUUGCACAAUGGGCGCAAGCCUGAUGCAGCGACGCCGCGUGAGGGAUGACGGCCUUCGGGUUGUAAACCUCUUUCAGCAUCGACGAAGCGAAAGUGACGGUAGGUGCAGAAGAAGGACCGGCCAACUACGUGCCAGCCGCCGCCGUAA
rnacentral:rRNA from 1 species